GAGACACCACUUCGCAUCUCACUUGAAACGGAUGGCAGUUGUUGUUCGUGCUUUAUAGAAUUUCUUGCUUUUGUGAAGAGUUGCAAGACAUUCUCCCUGGAAUUAUUAACCAAUUGGGGCCCGAUAACUUGGACAACUUGAGGAAGCUGGCAAAGCAGUUCCAGAAGCAGGCACCUGGUGCCGGUGCUGGUGCCAGUGCAACUGCUGCGCAAGAAGAUGACGACGACCAGGUUCCGGACCUUGUGGCUGGUGAGACCUUUGAAGCAGCUGCAGAGGAGAGAAACUUAAUUUUAUUGAGACCUCGUGGCUCUUAGUUAUUACAAGGGAGGAUUAAAUAUUUAGGUUCCACAAGGGAGGAUUAAAUAUUUUUGGAUGGAUGUGUAUGGAUAACAAAUAUUAGUAGUUUUAUUUGUUGAUAGCUGCGCAUGGAUAACAAAUAGUUAUGUUUCAAAUUGUUAUGCUAGAUGGAUGUGACUUGUGA